rnacentral:SRP_RNA from 1 species
GCCGGGCAUGGUGGCCCAUGCCUGUAAUCCCAGCUACUCAGGAGGCUGAGACAGGAGAAUCGUUUGAACCCAGGAGGCGGAGGUUGCAGUGAGCCAACAUCGUGCCAUCGCACUCCAGCCUGGGUGACAGAGCGAGACUCCGUCUCAC